rnacentral:pre_miRNA from 1 species
GUAGUAUUCCCUCCGUCCCAAAAUUCGUGUCUUACAUUUGUUUAGAUACGGAUGUAUCUAACACUAAAAUGUAACUAGAUACAUCCGUAUUUAGACAAACUUAAGACAAGAAUUUUGGGAUGGAGGGAGUACAAA